CCUACGGGAGGCAGCAGUGGGGAAUCUUGCGCAAUGGGCGAAAGCCUGACGCAGCCAUGCCGCGUGAAUGAUGAAGGUCUUAGGAUUGUAAAAUUCUUUCACCGGGGACGAUAAUGACGGUACCCGGAGAAGAAGCCCCGGCUAACUUCGUGCCAGCAGCCGCGGUAAUACGAAGGGGGCUAGCGUUGCUCGGAAUUACUGGGCGUAAAGGGAGCGUAGGCGGAUAGUUUAGUCAGAGGUGAAAGCCCAGGGCUCAACCUUGGAAUUGCCUUUGAUACUGGCUAUCUUGAGUUUGGGAGGGGUGAGUGGAACUCCGAGUGUAGAGGUGAAAUUCGUAGAUAUUCGGAAGAACACCAGUGGCGAAGGCGACUCACUGGCCCAAUACUGACGCUGAGGCUCGAAAGCGUGGGGAGCAAACAGGAUUAGAUACCCUGGUAGUCCACGCCGUAAACGAUGAGUGCUAGUUGUCGGCAUGCAUGCAUGUCGGUGACGCAGCUAACGCAUUAAGCACUCCGCCUGGGGAGUACGGUCGCAAGAUUAAAACUCAAAUGAAUUGACGG
rnacentral:rRNA from 1 species